GAUGAACGCUGGCGGCGUGCCUAGUACAUGCAAGUCGAGCGAACGGACGAGAAGCUUGCUUCUCUGAUGUUAGCGGCGGACGGGUGAGUAACACGUGGAUAACCUACCUAUAAGACUGGGAUAACUUCGGGAAACCGGAGCUAAUACCGGAUAAUAUUUUGAACCGCAUGGUUCAAAAGUGAAAGACGGUCUUGCUGUCACUUAUAGAUGGAUCCGCGCUGCAUUAGCUAGUUGGUAAGGUAACGGCUUACCAAGGCAACGAUGCAUAGCCGACCUGAGAGGGUGGUCGGCCACACUGGAACUGAGACACGGUCCAGACUCCUACGGGAGGCAGCAGUAGGGAAUCUUCCGCAAUGGGCGAAAGCCUGGCGGAGCAACGCCGCGUGAGUGAUGAAGGUCUUCGGAUCGUAAAACUCUGUUAUUAGGGAAGAACAUAUGUGUAAGUAACUGUGCACAUCUUGACGGUACCUAAUCAGAAAGCCACGGCUAACUACGUG
rnacentral:rRNA from 1 species